rnacentral:rRNA from 1 species
UACGUAGGGGGCAAGCGUUGUCCGGAAUCAUUGGGCGUAAAGCGCGUGUAGGCGGUCCGGUAAGUCCGCUGUGAAAGUCGGGGGCUCAACCCUCGGAUGCCGGUGGAUACUGUCGGGCUUGAGUACGGAAGAGGCGAGUGGAAUUCCUGGUGUAGCGGUGAAAUGCGCAGAUAUCGAGAGGAACACCUGCGGCGAAGGCGGGUAGCUGGGCCGACACUGACGCUGAGGCGCGAAAGCCAGGGGAGCGAACGGG